rnacentral:rRNA from 1 species
GUAGGGGGCAAGCGUUGUCCGGAUUUAUUGGGGCGUAAAGAGCUCGUAGGCGGCUUGGUAAGUCGGGUGUGAAAACUUCAGGCUUAACUUGGGAGAUGCCACUCGAUACUGUCAUGGCUAGAGUCCGGUAGGGGAGCGCGGAAUUCCUGGUGUAGCGGUGAAAUGCGCAGAUAUCAGGAGGAACACCGACGGCGAAGGCAGCGCUCUGGGCCGGUACUGACGCUGAGGAGCGAAAGCGUGGGGAGCAAACAGGAUUAGAUACCCUGGUAGUCCACGCCGUAAACGAUGGGCACUAGGUGUGGGGCGCUGUCAACGCGCUCCGUGCCGCAGCUAACGCAUUAAGUGCCCCGCCUGGGGAGUACGGCCGCAAGGCUA